rnacentral:rRNA from 1 species
AACUACCGGAAACGGUAGCUAAUACCGAAUAAUUGUUUUCUUCGCCUGAAGAGAACUGGAAAGACGGAGCAAUCUGUCACUUGGGGAUGGGCCUGCGGCGCAUUAGCUAGUUGGUGAGGUAACGGCUCACCAAGGCGACGAUGCGUAGCCGACCUGAGAGGGUGAUCGGCCACACUGGGACUGAGACACGGCCCAGACUCCUACGGGAGGCAGCAGUAGGGAAUCUUCCGCAAUGGGCGAAAGCCUGACGGAGCAAUGCCGCGUGAGUGAUGAAGGUUUUCGGAUCGUAAAGCUCUGUUGCCAGGGAAGAACGCUUGUGAGAGUAACUGCUCUCAAGGUGACGGUACCUGAGAAGNNNGCCCNGNCUAACUACGUGCCAGCAGCCGCGGUAAUACGUAGGGGGCAAGCGUUGUCCGGAAUUAUUGGGCGUAAAGCGCGCGCAGGCGGUCAUUUAAGUCUGGUGUUUAAUCCCGGGGCUCAACCCCGGAUCGCACUGGAAACUGGGUGACUUGAGUGC